rfam:Cephalotus follicularis DNA, scaffold: scaffold4655, isolate: St1.
UUGAUGGAUUGGCUGAGGAUUUAGUGGAAACUCCAAAGUUAAGCGUGCUACACUCAGGGUAAAACCAGGAUGGGUGACCUCCUGGGAAGUCUGACCAGUCCAUCAAU